rnacentral:rRNA from 1 species
GAUGAACGCUGGCGGCGUGCCUAAUACAUGCAAGUCGAGCGAACGGACGAGAAGCUUGCUUCUCUGAUGUUAGCGGCGGACGGGUGAGUAACACGUGGAUAACCUACCUAUAAGACUGGGAUAACUUCGGGAAACCGUAGCUAAUACCGGAUAAUAUUUUGAACCGCAUGGUUCAAAAGUGAAAGACGGUCUUGCUGUCACUUAUAGAUGGAUCCGCGCUGCAUUAGCUAGUUGGUAAGGUAACGGCUUACCAAGGCAACGAUGCAUAGCCGACCUGAGAGGGUGAUCGGCCACACUGGAACUGAGACACGGUCCAGACUCCUACGGGAGGCAGCAGUAGGGAAUCUUCCGCAAUGGGCGAAAGCCUGACGGAGCAACGCCGCGUGAGUGAUGAAGGUCUACGGAUCGUAAAACUCUGUUAUUAGGGAAGAACAUAUGUGUAAGUAACUGUGCACAUCUUGACGGUACCUAAUCAGAAAGCCACGGCUAACUACGUG